AUUUGAAAUCGUGCUUUGCGGCACGAGUUGUAGAUUGCAGGUUGGAGUCUGUGUGAAGGCGGUGUCCAAGUCCCUUGGAACAGGGCGCCCAGGAGGGUGAGAGCCCCGUGGGAUGCCGGCGGAAGCAGUGAGGCCCUUCUGACGAGUCGAGUUGUUUGGGAAUGCAGCUCCAAGCGGGUGGUAAAUUCCAUCUAAGGCUAAAUACUGGCGAGAGACCGAUAGCGAACAAGUACUGUGAAGGAAAGAUGAAAAGCACUUUGAAAAGAGAGUGAAACAGCACGUGAAAUUGUUGAAAGGGAAGGGUAUUGCGCCCGACAUGGGGAUUGCGCACCGCUGCCUCUCGUGGGCGGCGCUCUGGGCUUUCCCUGGGCCAGCAUCGGUUUUUGCUGCAGGAGAAGGGGUUCUGGAACGUGGCUCUUCGGAGUGUUAUAGCCAGGGCCAGAUGCUGCGUGCGGGGACCGAGGACUGCGGCCGUUUAUGCUGUAGGUCACGGCAGAACGGCG
rnacentral:rRNA from 1 species